ACUCAAAGGAAUUGACGGGGACCCGCACAAGCGGUGGAUGAUGUGGUUUAAUUCGAUGCAACGCGAAAAACCUUACCUACCCUUGACAUGUCUGAGACCUUGAAGAGAUUUGAGGGUGCUCGAAAGAGAAUCAGAACACAGGUGCUGCAUGGCCGUCGUCAGCUCGUGUCGUGAGAUGUUGGGUUAAGUCCCGCAACGAGCGCAACCCUUGUCAUUAGUUGCUACGAAAGGGCACUCUAAUGAGACUGCCGGUGACAAACCGGAGGAAGGUGGGGAUGACGUCAGGUCAUCAUGGCCCUUAUGGGUAGGGCUACACACGUCAUACAAUGGCCGGUACAGAGGGCUGCCAACCCGCGAGGGGGAGCCAAUCCCAGAAAACCGGUCGUAGUCCGGAUCGUAGUCUGCAACUCGACUGCGUGAAGUCGGAAUCGCUAGUAAUCGCGGAUCAGCUUGCCGCGGUGAAUACGUUCCCGGGUCUUGUACACACCGCCCGU
rnacentral:rRNA from 1 species